rnacentral:rRNA from 1 species
AUACGUAGGGUGCGAGCGUUAAUCGGAAUUACUGGGCGUAAGGCGUGCGCAGGCGGUUCGUUGUGUCUGUGGUGAAAGCCCCGGGCUUAACCUGGGAAUGGCCAUGGAAACUGGCGAGCUGGAGUCUGGCAGAGGGGGGUGGAAUUCCGCGUGUAGCAGUGAAAUGCGUAGAGAUGCGGAGGAACACCGAUGGCGAAGGCAGCCCCCUGGGUCAAGACUGACGCUCAGGCACGAAAGCGUGGGGAGCAAACAG